rnacentral:tRNA from 1 species
GGUUGUGGCUCAGUGGUAGAGCGCUUGCCUAGCACGUGGGAGGCACUGGGUUUGAUCCUCAGCACCA